rnacentral:lncRNA from 1 species
UAAAAUUACCAAUUCAGGGGCAGCAACCCAUCAACGGGUUGUCCGAUUCAUCUGAAAAUUUCUGGGCAGAUAGAUCUUGACCUGAUAAACAAUUUUACCCCAUGUCAGAUUUGCUCUUAAUGCUUUGAUUUUUGAGUUAUAAGCCAAAAACUGCAUUUUACCCCUAUGUCCUAUAUUUAGCCGUGGCAGCCAUCUUGGUUGGAUGGCCGGGUCACCGGACACAUUUUUUGAACUACAUACCCCAAAGAUGAUUGUGGCCAAGUUUGGAUUAAUUUAGCCCAGUAGUUUCAGAGGAGAAGAUUUUUGUAAAAGAUUACUAAGAUUUACGAAAAAUGGUUAAAAAUUGACUAUAAAGGGCAAUAACUCCUUAAGGGGUCAACUGACCAUUUCGGUCAUGUUGACUUAUUUGUAAAUCUUACUUUGCUGAACAUUAUUGCUGUUUACAGUUUAUCUCUAUCUAUAAUAAUAUUCAAGAUAAUAACCAAAAACAGCAAAAUUUCCAUAAAAUUACCAAUUCAGGGGCAGCAACCCAUCAACGGGUUGUCCGAUUCAUCUGAAAAUUUCUGGGCAGAUAGAUCUUGACCUGAUAAACAAUUUUACCCCAUGUCAGAUUUGCUCUAAAUGCUUUGGUUUUUGAGUUAUAAGCCAAAAACUGCAUUUUACCCCUAUGUUCUAUUUUUAGCCAUGGCGGCCAUCUUGGUUGGUUGGCGGGGUCACCGGACACAUUUUUUAAACUAGAUACCCCAAUGAUGAUUGUGGCCAAGUUUGAUUAAAUUUGGCUUAGUAGUUUCAGGAGAAGAUUUUUGUAAAAGUUAACGACGACGGACGCAGGACGACGACGGACGCAGGACGCCGGACGCAAAGUGAUGGGAAAAGCUCACUUGGCCCUUCGGGCCAGGUGAGCUAAAAAUAUCUAGAAAACACAAAUUUGUAAAGUGAAAUUUUUGUCAUUUAAUU